AGCCCUAGGUAGAAAUAUAGGGUAAUACCUGCUCAAUGAAUAGUAUUUUAAUAGCCGCGGUACCUUGACCGUGCUAAGGUAGCAUAAUCAGUUGACUUUUAAAUGAAGUCUGGAAUGAAGGGAAAAACGGGAUUAAACUGUCUCUUGUUUUUUAUUAUGAAUUUACUAAUCAGGUGAAAAGGCCUGAGUAAGAUAAAGGACGAGAAGACCCUUAGAGUUUUUUUAAAAUAUUUUGUUGGGGCGACAAAGAAUCAAAUUAACAUUCUUAUAUAUUAUAGGACGGAUUUAUCAUGAAUAGAUAAACUACCUGAGGGAUAACAGCAUUAUCUUUUAAGGUUUGUGACCUCGAUGUUGGACUAGGAAGCCUAUAGGCUAGCCGCUUAUAUGGGGGGUUCUGUUCGAACUUUCUCUCCU
rnacentral:rRNA from 1 species